GAUGAACGCUGGCGGCGUGCCUAAUACAUGCAAGUCGAGCGAACAGAUGAGGAGCUUGCUCCUCUGACGUUAGCGGCGGACGGGUGAGUAGCACGUGGAUAACCUACCUAUAAGACUGGGAUAACUUCGGGAAACCGGAGCUAAUACCGGAUAAUAUAUUGAACCGCAUGGUUCAAUAGUGAAAGACGGUUUUGCUGUCACUUAUAGAUGGAUCCGCGCCGCAUUAGCUAGUUGGUAAGGUAACGGCUUACCAAGGCAACGAUGCGUAGCCGACCUGAGAGGUGAUCGGCCACACUGGAACUGAGACACGGUCCAGACUCCUACGGGAGGCAGCAGUAGGGAAUCUUCCGCAAUGGGCGAAAGCCUGACGGAGCAACGCCGCGUGAGUGAUGAAGGUCUUCGGAUCGUAAAACUCUGUUAUUAGGGAAGAACAAAUGUGUAAGUAACUAUGCACGUCUUGACGGUACCUAAUCAGAAAGCCACGGCUAACUACGUG
rnacentral:rRNA from 1 species